AGUGUAGGCUCUUUAGCGGCGUUGUGGGGUUAGUGUUACUGGAGGACAUUUCCUUGAUAGCGUAGCGCCCAUUCAGUGGUGAUGUUUUGAAAACAGUUGUCCAUCUGCCCCUGGAGGUGAUCAAAAUCUGCCUUGAUUAACAAGUGGGAAAUCUCAGUAAUGGUCCCUUGUGCUGACUCUCAUCCCCUCCCAAGUGGGGAUCAAAGAGGAUGAAGUUUUGAGCCCAGGGAUAAUCUAGUUCCCUAGAUUGUGAUAAUGCUGCUCGGGAUGAUCGUGUGGAUGAGAGCGGGUUGGGGCGUGCUCGUGCCUGUGGGUUUUAUGCUUGCAUGUACUUGUGCGCCAAUGUGUUGGUGCUCAAAAGAGAAGAGGCAGACAAUAGCAGAGUGAGCCACUGAAAUAGUACACAUAGGCUGAUGGAAAAUAGGCUGUUGCUGUAUCUAGGCAACCACAUCAGAAUUCAAGACAUAUCAAACAACAGGAAAUAAGUUGGCAGGAAAAUCACUAAAACAGAGAGCUCUUCUUCUUCUGCCACGAUGGCACCACAUGCUUUAAACCAAAAGAGAUUUAAAGCAGCCAGGCUGUAUCUGUCAGAUCCUAAGGAGGUCUUAACUUCCCUGUUGUUCUGCAUGGUCUCCUCCCACCCUGAUCUGUGUCUGGUGUUGGUGUCCAGCUGUUCCAUCAGCACGACAAGUGGUUCAGGAAACUCCCUCAUUGUUCACUGACCAAUCGCAAACACACCAGAAUGCUGUCAACGAGCAUUUUCCACCCAGUGGUUUGCAUUUGGCUGCACCUGUGGUUUCGGCCCAGAGGGCAUGGGAUGCAUGAAGGGGGUGGGGGGCAAAAUAGGAAGAGGCUGGGCACUGGCGUGGAAAGGAAGUCAGAUUUCGGAUUAGACUGUCUUUCUGUCUGUCGAGAUUAAACGUAAUAGAUUCAUUCUGAGUUUCCCUCUUUUUGUUGUGUUUUCCUCAAAAUGGAUCAGAGGCCAGCUGAGCCUUACUACCCACCCGUAUUUGCAUUUUCGCAAUUUGCAUGAACUCAUCGGAGCUCGGAGGCAACUUACGGUUGUGUGUGCACAUGUGCAGGCAUGCGUGCGUUCCUGGCAUGUGCUUUGUAAUUUGACAAGCAAAAUAAAGAACUAGUCCAAACAAUCUAAUAAACGCGGCCGAAAGAAGCUGCGCCGCAUUCCCUGGGUUCUUGGCCCCAAAUCACCUGGAAAUACAAAGCGUUUAUUUUCCAACAUUUACUGGAAUGUUAAGAAAUUACAUUCACCACCCCUCGCUGACUUAUCACAUGUUGUAACACUGUAUCACACUGCAGCUGAGAGCCUACUGAGGAGAGUUACUAGGAUAGAUACUCAGUCUGCACUGCAGUGCUUUGCUAGCCUGGGUUGUGAAUCUUAUCAGGCAGAGUUGUGGUAGUGGAUUUUGUGUGUGUGUGUUUGUGAGUUUGUGUGCCUGCGUGUGUGUGUCCAGGCCCCUCUGGAGUCCAUUAAUCCCAAAUCUAACAGACUUACUGCAGAGGCAGCCUUUGAUGUGUGCUGAAUCCCUCUCUGGAAUAUUGGAUGCUGCUUCCAUAAUACCCACUUCCCUCUCUCUUGUCAGGAAUACAUUGUUUUGUUUUUCCCCCCACGACGCUGAUAUUGUCCGGCAGGACAGGUGGCUGCCGUGUUAUGAGUUUGUUUACAAUUCAGGUGUGUUUUUAGUGGUUCUCUGAUCUGUAAUUUUACAUCUCUGAGCUCCUUUAAUCCCAUUCUUAUCUUGUGUAAGCCUUCUAAUCUUUGACCCUAAUCUUAAAGCGUCACAUAGAAUGGGGCAGUGCAGAUUGACAAGAGUUGUUUUUCUCACCUUCAAAUUCAAUGCAUACAUUUGUCAGCGAGAGCUGGGGUCCUCCAGCCUUGGGGUUUUCUGUCUUGUGAGUCUGAAAGGUAUUUAUUGUUAUAUAUUUCUAUUUAUUUGUGUUUUAUUGCAGUGGCCUGGACUUGAACCCAGCCUAUUUUAAAGCCUCGCGCUUAUAACCCUCUAGUCUCAGGAGUGAAACAGAUGGAGAGGCAAAGAAAGUAUAAAUUAGAUAGUGAGAUGGAAAACACAUUUCUAUUUGAAAUGAUUAUCCUCCCUGACGGCUAUACUAAUAGACUGUUAUUGCAUUUCCGUCAGUUUCUUUUAAUCUAAUCAUGCUUAUAAACAGAUGAGUGAGAGUGUUAGUGUUUGCGUAUAUUCAUCCAUACAGAGACAUAAGCAACCAGUGUCUAGACGGCAAACACCAAUUUGGCUGGCGCAUGGAGGAACAUCAAUGCUAAAGCAAUGCUGCUGAAACACUAGGCAUGUUCUUCUGCAUGGAGAGGAGAUUGCAGUGACAGACAGAGAGCGAUAGGAGGAGGAGGAGGUGGCGCAGCAGAAAUAGAGAGGCUGGCAGAGCUCGCUGUUGCUAAUACAUCCAAAGUGUGUCAGUUAGCUCUCUAAAUGUGUUAGGCCCCGGGGCUGAGAAAGCCAACACCAUCGACUCAACCUACCGCACUUCACCUUUCCACUUAGCCUCUG